ensembl:lncRNA
GUCAGAAGCAGGAAGAGAAAAGUGGCCUCUAACCGAUUGAGUCCAGCUGUUUCCAUUUCCAGCAGCUGGAUCAGAUGUUACCAGACAAACACGAGAGACUCUGGAGGAUUCUCAGAUUACUGGAUGUCAAACCGUCACUCUGAGGACAGCAGCUCCCUUCGAGAUGUUCAGAGGGAGAUGAUGCCACAUCUGGUCCAGCUGAUGGAAGGUCUUGAAGUUCUCUGACUGGCCUCGACUGAAGAUGGUCGUCUCACUGGAUUUAAGAUGCACAAUGAGGGACGUCUGCAGAGACUGAGAAAGAGUCUCACCACAUCCUGACAUGAGGAAAAAGACUUUAUUGAAGACUACAAUGAGAAAAACGAUCCAGACAGCAGACGGCUACAUUCAAGAGAGGAAGACCAUCCAACAUCCAUGUCAGCUGAUGGAGGUCCAAGAGUCUCACCAAACAACCAACCUACAGAGUGAAGACCUCAAAUCUGAUUGGACGGCCUCCUAUUCAGCCACGCUACAGGAGGAGCCCUACGAGGACGAGCCGGUCCACCUGAUGGCGGCCAGUCGCUGCGGUUCAAAGCCAACACUGACUACGUGGACUUCUACUGGACCACAUGGAGGCCUUCAAACCGGACCAACAAGUUCAGCGACUCCCCGACUCGUGGGUCUGAGGAC